UACGGGGGGGGCAAGCGUUGUUCGGAAUUACUGGGCGUAAAGGGCGCGUAGGCGGCCAGACAAAGUCGAGCGUUAAAUUCCAGGGCUUAACCCUGGGCUGUUGCUCGAUACUAGUCGGCUAGAGUGUGGAAGAGGGUGCUGGAAUUCCCGGUGUAGCGGUGAAAUGCGCAGAUAUCAGGAGGAACACCGACGGCGAAGGCAGCUUACUGGGCCGAUACUGACGCUGAGGAGCGAAAGCGUGGGGAGCGAACAGG
rnacentral:rRNA from 1 species